CCCCAGACUCCUACGGGAGGCAGCAGUGGGGAAUAUUGCACAAUGGGGGAAACCCUGAUGCAGCGACGCCGCGUGAGUGAAGAAGUAUUUCGGUAUGUAAAGCUCUAUCAGCAGGGAAGAAAAUGACGGUACCUGACUAAGAAGCCCCGGCUAACUACGUGCCAGCAGCCGCGGUAAUACGUAGGGGGCAAGCGUUAUCCGGAUUUACUGGGUGUAAAGGGAGCGUAGACGGCAUGGCAAGUCAGAUGUGAAAGCCCGGGGCUCAACCCCGGGACUGCAUUUGAAACUGUCAGGCUGGAGUGCAGGAGAGGUAAGUGGAAUUCCUAGUGUAGCGGUGAAAUGCGUAGAUAUUAGGAGGAACACCAGUGGCGAAGGCGGCUUACUGGACUGUAACUGACGUUGAGGCUCGAAAGCGUGGGGAGCAAACAGGAUUAGAUACCCCCGUAAAG
rnacentral:rRNA from 1 species